AGGGGUACCUGGAUCCUGAUAGAAGUACAAUCUACUAGACAAUCCACCAACAUCAAGCUCCCAAGUUCGUGCAUCCCCAAUCCAACCAUCGCCUUGUUUUGUUGGAUAGCCAUAUUGAGCCCAUAUGGGAUGAGGCAGCAACUGAACUAUCUCCUGCGCCUGAGGAUUGCUAUAAGGAUCACAAGUGCUGACUGGUUUCUCCAAAAAUUUGGCAUUUCCUGGAGCACAAUAGUAGUGAUAAGCCCCAUACGGGAAGUUGGCUGUAUCAUUCCUGUAAAUUUUUUUGUUGUUUGGGGUAAUGUGAUAUGGUGGGCAGUU
rnacentral:misc_RNA from 1 species